GACGAACGCUGGCGGCGUGCUUAACACAUGCAAGUCGAACGGAAAGGCCCUGCUUUUGUGGGGUGCUCGAGUGGCGAACGGGUGAGUAACACGUGAGUAACCUGCCCUUGACUUUGGGAUAACUUCAGGAAACUGGGGCUAAUACCGGAUAGGAGCUCCUGCUGCAUGGUGGGGGUUGGAAAGUUUCGGCGGUUGGGGAUGGACUCGCGGCUUAUCAGCUUGUUGGUGGGGUAGUGGCUUACCAAGGCUUUGACGGGUAGCCGGCCUGAGAGGGUGACCGGCCACAUUGGGACUGAGAUACGGCCCAGACUCCUACGGGAGGCAGCAGUGGGGAAUAUUGCACAAUGGGCGGAAGCCUGAUGCAGCAACGCCGCGUGCGGGAUGACGGCCUUCGGGCUGUAAACCGCUUUCGCCUGUGACGAAGCGUGAGUGACGGUAAGGGGUAAAGAAGCACCGGCUAACUACGUGC
rnacentral:rRNA from 1 species